UGACAAGGGAUGCUGGGAAA
rnacentral:miRNA from 1 species